GAUGAACGCUAGCUACAGGCUUAACACAUGCAAGUCGCAGGGUAACAUGAGGAAAGCUUGCUUUCCUUGAUGACGACUGGCGCACGGGUGAGUAACGCGUAUCCAACCUUCCCAUAACUACGGGAUAACCCGUUGAAAGACGGCCUAAUACCGUAUGAUAUCGUUUGCUGACAUCAAAUAACGAUUAAAGGUUUAGCGGUUAUGGAUGGGGAUGCGUCUGAUUAGCUUGUUGGCGGGGUAACGGCCCACCAAGGCGACGAUCAGUAGGGGUUCUGAGAGGAAGGUCCCCCACAUUGGAACUGAGACACGGUCCAAACUCAUACGGGAGGCAGCAGUGAGGAAUAUUGGUCAAUGGGCGAGAGCCUGAACCAGCCAAGUAGCGUGCAGGACGACGGCCCUAUGGGUUGUAAACUGCUUUUAUGUGGGGAUAAAGUGCGUGACGUGUCAUGCAUUGCAGGUACCACAUGAAUAAGGACCGGCUAAUUACGUG
rnacentral:rRNA from 1 species